CCAGCCUCAUCAUCAUCAUCAUCAUCAUCAUGAAGACAUCCCCCCAGCACCAGCCUUCACAUCCUCUUCAUCAUCAUCAUUAAGACAUCCCCCCAGCCUUCACAUCCUCUUCAUCAUCAUCAUCAUCAUUAAGACAUCCCCCAGCACCAGCCUUCACAUCCUCUUCAUCAUAACCAUUCAGACAUCCCCCCAGCACCAGUCUUCACAUCCUCUUCAUCAUCAUCAUUAAGACAUCCCCCCACCCAGACUUCACAUCCUCUUCAUCAUCAUCAUUAAGACACCCCCAGCACCAGCCUUCACAUCCUCUUCAUCAUCAUCAUCAUCAUCAAGACAUCCCCCCAGCACCAGCCUUCACAUCCUCUUCAUCAUCAUCAUUAAGACAUCCCCCACCCAGCACCAGCCUUCACAUCCUCUUCAUCAUCAUCAUUAUGACAUCCCCCAGCACCAGCUUUCACAUCCUCUUCAUCAUCAUCAUUAAGACACCCCCCCAGCACCAGCCUUCACAUCAUCAUCAUCAUUAAGACAUCCCCCCCAGCACCAGCCUUCACAUCCUCUUCAUCAUCAUGACGUGAUAUAAGGAGCUAUGACGUGUUAUAAGGAGAAGCUAUGAUGUGUUAUAAGGAGAAGCUAUGAUGUGUUAUAAGGACAAGCUAUGAUGUGUUAUAAGGAGGAGCUAUGAUGUGUUAUAAGGAGAAGCUAUGAUGUGUUAUAAGGAGAAGCUAUGAUGUGUUAUAAGGAGAAGCUAUGACGUGUUAUAAGCUAUGACGUGUUAUAAGGAGAAGCUAUGAUGUGUUAUUAGGAGCUAUGACGUGUUAUAAGGAGAAGCUAUGAUGUGUUAUUAGGAGGAGCUAUGAUGUGUUAUAAGGAGAAGCUAUGAUGUGUUAUAAGGAGAAGCUAUGAUGUGUUAUAAGGAGAAGCUAUGAUGUGUUAUAAUGAGAAGCUAUGACGUGUUAUAAGGAGAAGCUAUGAUGUGUUAUUAGGAGCUAUGGCGUGUUAUAAGGAGCUAUGAUGUGUUAUAAUGAGAAGCUAUGACGUGUUAUAAGGAGAAGCUAUGAUGUGUUAUAAGGAGCUAUGAUGUGUUAUAAUGAGAAGCUAUGACGUGUUAUAAGGAGCUAUGAUGUGUUAUAAGGAGCUAUGACGUGUUAUAAGAAGCUAUGACGUGUUAAGCUAUGAUAGGUUAUAACACAUGACGUGUUUUAAGAAGCUACGAUGUGUUAUAAGGAGCUAUGAUGUGUUAUAACCUGUGUUAUAAGAAGCUAUGAUGUGUUAUAAGGAGCUAUGAUGUGUUAUAAGAAGCUAUGAUGUGUUAUAAGAAGCUAUGAUGUGUUAUAACGUGUUAUAAGAAGCUGUGGUGUGUUAUAACGUGUUAUAAGAAGCUAUGACGUGUUAUAACGAGCUAUGACGUGUUAUAAGAAGCUAUGACGUGUUAUAAGGAGCUAUGACGUGUUAAGCUAUGAUAGGUUAUAACACAUGACGUGUUUUAAGAAGCUACGAUGUGUUAUAAGGAGCUAUGAUGUGUUAUAAGAAGCUAUGAUGUGUUAUAACGUGUUUUAAGGAGCUACGACGUGUUAUAAGAAGCUAUGAUGUGUUAUAACGUGUUUUAAGGAGCUAUGAUGUGUUAUAACGUGUUUUAAGGAGCUAUGAUGUGUUAUAACAUGUUAUAAGAAGCUAUGAUGUGUUAUAAGGAGCUAUGAUGUGUUAUAACAUGUUAUAAGGAGCUAUGAUGUGUUAUAACGUGUUAUAAGGAGCUAUGACGUGUUAUAAGGAGCUAUGAUGUGUUAUAACGUGUUAUAAGGAGCUAUGACGUGUUAUAACGUGUUAUAAGGAGCUAUGACGUGUUAUAACGUGUUAUAAGGAACUAUGACGUGUUAUAACGUGUUAUAAGGAGCUAUGACGUGUUAUAACGUGUUAUAAGGAGCUAUGACGUGUUAUAACGUGUUAUAAGGAGCUAUGACGUGUUAUAACGUGUUAUAAGGAGCUAUGACGUGUUUUAAGGAGCUACGACGUGUUAUAAGAAGCUAUAAGCGUUCAUACACUGGUUCAUAUUCCAAUGCAUAUUUAAUAAACCAUCGAUGAGUGGAUGAA
ensembl:lncRNA